AAAGGCAUAAAUUUGAAUUGUUUUACUAUGUCUGCAGUAGCAUGAGAAGUUGAACGAAUUAGAAAAGACACACUAAUUUAUUUUUGCAAUAACUCAAGCAAGUUUUAUAAAUAUCGAUGUAUUUACAUCUUUUUUCAAGACUAUGUAGUAUCGCUCCAUGAGGAUUCAAGACGCCUGCCUCCUCCGGUAUUGACAUAAGAGUGCAAGCAAGUAUAAAGGCUGUAGUCACUGUCUAGUGGGGUCACUCCCUCCUAAACCUAGAUCAAGAGCAAGACCCAGAUGAUGGCAGCCUUACAAGUUUUUGAGGAGCUUGAUGUCCUCGAGGAUGCUGCAGGGGAAAGGGUCAGACUGCCGAGAAGGAUUGUGAAGGAUCGCUUGGAUUUAUUCCUGACUUUGACUGAAGAGGAAUUUACAUCCAGGUUCAGGAUAUCAAAGCAAAGCGCAAGGGCCUUACUUGCUGACUUACAUUUACCAGAGGCAGCUGAUGCAAGAGGAUGUCCUGUACCACCUCACCUUCAACUCCUCAUCACCUUAAGAUGGAUGGCCACUGGUGACCUGCACCAAACUAUUGGAGAUUGCCUGGAUGUCUCUCAGCAGUUUGUAAGUUCAUGCUCUUCACAUACUGUGUGUGCCAUUGCUGCUUUAUAUCAGCGGUAUGUAAAGAAUUCCUGGAAGGCAUGAGUUAGGGUCCAUCAAGACAAACUUUGAAGCAAUCUCUGGAUUCCCAGGUGUCAUUGGUGCAAUAGACUGCACACACAUCCCCAUUCUCAGUCCAGGUGGUCAGCAAGCAGAAACUUACCGAAGCAGAAAGGGCUUCUUUUCAUUAAAUGUACAAGCAGUGUGUGGUCCAGACUUAACAUUUUAUAAUAUUAUUUGUCGAUGGCCAGGAUCAGUCCACGACAGCAGAAUAUUUGCUAAUAGUUUCUGACCGUUCUAUUUCUGCCGUGGUAGACGGUCACUGUUCUUCCCCUAAAUCUAUUAACAGUGGUGUCCCACAGGGUUCUGUCCUAUCUCCCACUCUUUUUCUGUUGUUCAUUGAUGAUCUUCUUUCCAAAACGAACUGUCCUAUCCAUUCCUACGCCGAUGAUUCCACUCUGCAUUAUUCAACUUCUUUUAAUAGAAGACCCACCCUUCAGGAACUUAACGACUCAAGGCUGGAGGCUGCAGAACGCUUAGCCUCAGACCUUACUAUUAUUUCCGAUUGGGGCAAGAAGAACCUGGUGUCCUUCAACGCCUCAAAAACACAGUUUCUCCACCUAUCCACUCGACACAAUCUUCCAAACAACUAUCCCCUAUUCUUUGACAACACCCAGCUAUCACCUUCCUCAACACUAAACAUCCUCGGUCUGUCCUUAACUCAAAAUCUCAACUGGAAACUUCAUAUCUCAUCUCUUACUAAAUCAGCUUCCUCGAGGCUGAGCGUUCUGUACCG